UCCUCCCUCUGGCUUCGUGCUUAACACAUGCAAGUCGAACGAAAAGGCCCUGCUUUCAGUGUACUCGAGUUGGGAACGGGUGAGUAACUCGUGGGUGAUCUGCCCUCCACUUCGGGAUGAGCCUGUUCAACUGGGUCUAAUACCUGAUAGUAGCCAUUUUUAGUGGGAUGGUUGAAAAGUUUUUUCGGGUUAGGAUGAGCUCGCGGCCUAUCAGCUUGUUGGUUUGGUAAUGGCCUACCAAAGCGGCUACGGGUAGCCGGCCUGUGAGGCUGGACCGCGACCCAGGGACCGAGAGGAGGCCCAGAUAGCGACGCGAGGCAGAAGUGGGGAAGCUUGAACGAUGAGCGCAAGCCUGAUGAAGAGGGGCCGCGUGGGGGAAGACGGUCUUAGGGUUGUAAAAUAAUUUCGCUAGGGACGAAGCUUUUUGUGACGGUACCUAGAUAAGAAGCACCGGCUAACUACGUG
rnacentral:rRNA from 1 species